rnacentral:rRNA from 1 species
UACGUAGGUGGCAAGCGUUAUCCGGAUUUAUUGGGCGUAAAGAGAACGCAGGCGGUCUUUUAAGUGAGAUGUGAAAUACUCGGGCUCAACUUGAGUGCUGCAUUUCAAACUGGAAGUCUAGAGUGCAGGAGAGGAGAAUGGAAUUCCUAGUGUAGCGGUGAAAUGCGUAGAGAUUAGGAAGAACACCAGUGGCGAAGGCGAUUCUCUGGACUGUGACUGACGCUGAGGCUCGAAAGCGUGGGGAGCAAACAGG